CAAGGAGGGCUCAAGAGAUCGUUACAAGAAGGUCUGUUAAGAAAGAAUUUAAUCAAAGAAUGCCCCAGGAAGAAGAAUCAUAGGCUGGAGUUGGUAAAACGUCAUUGAUUAGUAGAUACACCCUGGAACAGUUUUCUUCUGAAUAUAGAAUAAGUACUGAGCCUGGAUUUGAAGUGAAG